rnacentral:lncRNA from 1 species
UUGUCUUUUAUCCCUAUUUAAAUUUUAGAUAUGUAACUGGCCUUUACUGGUGUCAAAUUUGGUCAUUGUGCAGUCGAACUUGAUUGGCCGAUUCCUUAUUCAUUCAUCAGACUUGCAGUGCAUUUGGCAGAAUUGGACCUUAGCUUUCUUCUAGAGGUAGGAAAGCUGAGGCACAGAAAGGCAAUAUACCUUGUCUCACAGUUAUGAAGUGAAAAAGAUGAGAUUUAAACGCAGGCCGGCUAAUCUCAGAUUUCCUGGUUCCUAACUAAGUUCCGUGCUGCUGAUUUGAUUGUCUCCUUCUCCUCCACCCUCUUCGAGCUUGGCAGUGGAACAUAUCAACUCCAGCAGGACCUGCUGAACACUGUGCUGGAGGGUCCCGUGCCAGGGACGGAAGCUCCCAUGGAGAAGGCAGCCAGGCCCAGGGAGGGCCUGCUCCAGGGCACACAGGACACAACCACUGUCAACUACCGAGGUCCCCGCGCGCCAGGACACAGCCGGCUCGGCGUGGCCUCCAAGUGGGAGCUCGCUGCUUAUCUGUCAACUGAUUGGACGCUGUGAGGCUCAUUUUGCGAGACAACUCCCCUCCCCGCGGAAGGAGGAGCCCCUUGGAGUCGGCUGGGUAACGGGAAAAGUGCUUACUCCGGGAGGAAGGCGGGGCUAGCCGGAACCAGCUCUCGCUAAGAACCCGCAGACUCCCCCGGCGUGUCUGAACCCCGUUCUCCUCCGGGGAGCGCGAGGGGGUUGGAGGUACUUGGAACACGUCCCUUUGCGGGAGACACGUAGCUGCCUCUGGCCCAGCUCCCCGCUGAUCCUGCGGAGUGGACCCCCCCCCGCACCCCGUUUCGCUCCGGCUCCCUCCGCGCUGCAAAGGGAGGGGAGAGCCGGGGAGCCUUGCGCACCAGCUUCCCCGAGCUGCAGGCGAGGAGCCCCGCGCCCUCGGGAGCCUCUGGGCAG